AGAGCGAACGCUGGCGGCAGGCCUAACACAUGCAAGUCGAACGGACUCUUCGGAGUUAGUGGCGGACGGGUGAGUAACACGUGGGAACGUGCCUUUAGGUUCGGAAUAGCUCCUGGAAACGGGUGGUAAUGCCGAAUGUGCCCUUCGGGGGAAAGAUUUAUCGCCUUUAGAGCGGCCCGCGUCUGAUUAGCUAGUUGGUGAGGCAAAGGCUCACCAAGGCUACGAUCAGUAGCUGGUCUGAGAGGAUGACCAGCCACAUUGGGACUGAGACACGGCCCAAACUCCUACGGGAGGCAGCAGUGGGAAUCUUGCGCAAUGGGCGAAAGCCUGACGCAGCCAUGCCGCGUGAAUGAUGAAGGUCUUAGGAUUGUAAAAUUCUUUCAGUAGGACGAUAAUGACGGUACUACAGAAGAAGCCCCGGAUAACUUCGUGCCAGCAGCCGC
rnacentral:rRNA from 1 species